AUGAACGCUAGCGACAGGCCUAACACAUGCAAGUCGAGGGGCAGCACAAGGAGCAAUCUGAGGUGGCGACCGGCGCACGGGUGAGUAACACGUAUGCAACCUGCCUGUAAGCGGGGAAUAACCCGUUGAAAGACGGACUAAUACCGCAUAAUACUAAAUUACUGCAUGGUAAUUUAUUUAAACAUUUUAUGGCUUACAGAUGGGCAUGCGCAUGAUUAGCUAGUUGGAGAGGUAACGGCUCCCCAAGGCAACGAUCAUUAGGGGUUCUGAGAGGAAGGUCCCCCACACUGGUACUGAGACACGGACCAGACUCCUACGGGAGGCAGCAGUGAGGAAUAUUGGUCAAUGGACGAGAGUCUGAACCAGCCAAGUCGCGUGCAGGAAGAAUGUCCCUAUGGAUUGUAAACUGCUUUUGCAGGGGAAUAAAGUGCAUCACGUGUGAUGUUUUGUAUGUACUCUGCGAAUAAGGAUCGGCUAACUCCGUGCCAGCCGCCGC
rnacentral:rRNA from 1 species